UGAAGUUCUGAAUCAGGGGAAACUCUUUCAUUGGGAUUCAUUCUUUGUCUGCCUCUGUACCCACAGGUCAUUAGAGGUUUGGCUUCUAGGUCCUGGGUCUGAGGCUUUCUGAAAGCCUACCUAUACUGUCCUAUAGAGAUGGAAGGGUCCAGGACAGUUCUCUUGGGAGCUCUGAGGAGCAGACAGGGAGAUAUUUCUCCAUAAAAGCACUCUGGCUCCACAAGCCAACUAGAGGAGCCUCUCCUGAGAGAUGGAGCAGUUCAACAUGUAGUUUUCCUUUUAAGUACCUAUUAUCAAAUUGUAUUUUCACUUGUUUCUUCUCCUUCUGGCAGUGACUUCUAAUUCUAUUUAAAAAUGUGAUAUUUCCCAAAAGCAACAAGCAACUUGUUCCCCUCCUCCCCCCCUUUUAAACUUGUGAACACGUAAGUGACUACAGUCUCAGGGCACUAUGGGCUGAAGCAAGAGAGGGCCUUCUUCAUUCCAGCAUCUUCUACUCCUAGGAACAUCCUUAAGGAAGCUAGGGUGGAGCGGUGAGGUGCCUUCCGGGGACCUGCGGCCCCUCCUACCUGCUAGGCACGCUGGAUCUGGCAGGAUGCCUCUUGUAGGUGCUGUCCUAUUACUCUUUCUGAAAGAACAUCUUGGAAGAGUGGUUCCUAGUGUCCCCGAGUAACCCUUUUCUAACAAUUCGGCCAGUGUCUUUUCCCCAAGAGUAGAAAACACUGGUUUGGAAAAUCUAGUGAAUUUUUGGUUUCUUGUGAAUGUGUGUCAACCAACAAACCUAAGCACCCAGUCUGUGAAAUCUUCUCUCGUUUAGAUUGGGCAGGCCUUCCACUCCCUUCAUUCCCCGAACGUGGAUUUUGAUACUUCGGCUGCAGGUUUGUCCAAAUGUAGAAAUAAUCUGGGGCAAGGGAAUCAACGUAUUAUCAAUUUAUAUUUUUAACAUGUGCAUGUUUCAUAAAGGUGGACUACAGCGGGCAUAGGCAAACUCGAGUUGACUGGAAGCUUAUUACGGAUAUAGAAGGUAUUUGGUUCCAGAAAAUUACAGACUAUACUUGUAGGAGUUUCUCAAAUUUACCUUCUUUCUUUUGUUGGAAAAUAUAACAGGAACUAGGAUGGAAGAAGGUGAGGUGAGGUUAUUUAUAUGGGGAGUGGUAAGGGUCAAAUUGUUCAACUCCUAACCUCCCAUGGCUGUUCCUUUUAUGGAGGAAUUACCUCCAAAGUAGUCUGAACCUGGGAGUAGCAGAAGAGCAGAAAAGACCACUAAACUAAGAAGGCAGGUAUCUGAUGGUAUUAUGAACAGCUUCUCUUCACACCUAAAUAAUAAUUUUAGUGAUCACUGUAUUCUGUUAUGGGUCACAAAGCAAGUCUUUGGUAGCCAACAGACACACACAUGUAUGCGUGCGUGCACACACACACACACACACACACCGCUUCCAAAGACUAUAAUGUCACAGGAGCUAAGGUUAUCACCUCAAAGGUGAUGUAAGUCUGUAUCACUUCUUUUUUAAAGGCUGAUACUAAGACUCUACAUAUUUCCUCUCAGUCUCAGCUUGACCACUGGUUAGUGAAAAAUAAAGAUUUCUGUGUGUUCUACCAGAUGCAGCCCUGAAAACAACGAAGAUGGCAUAGAUUGCACUUUGUGGUCCUCCCACAUCAGCUCUGCACCCAGGCUCACGAACAAUUUCCAUAUAGAACCCAUCCAGCUGGGAUCAUCUUGAGAACGUUUUCUGUGUUGCACGUUACCAUUCGCCUCAGUCUACAAAUAUCUUGCCCUGAGACUCAUUCUGGAAGGGUCCUGGCUUUAGCUUUAACUUUACUUAAGAAAACAAGAACACCCACAAUGACUGUCAUAGGAAACCAUCAGUGCUCUUCAUGAACUGCCAUAGGACCUUCCCACAGGUUUCCUCUCUGCCUGGAAAGCUCUCCUCCCUCCCGCCUCCAAGCCUUGCCUCACCCCUUCUUAGCCCAGUUCAGACACCACCUCGCUGUCACCUCGCUACCUGAGAAACCUUCUCUGACCCCUGACUAAACCAGUGAAGAAAAUCAGAAAGUCCAGAAGCAGAUGCCGGAUAGUUUUUCUACAGGGACAUGGUUCCAGAACUUUCCCCUCCUGCCAACAUUCUCUGGGAGAAGCCAUAACCUUGGUCCCAAGCCAGGAAGGUGGCUGACUUGGUACCACUGUGCUCGCUGUGGGGCACACACACAUGGAAGAGGAAGUUGCUCCAGACACUACAAUGUCAUGUCAACAGGACAGUGUCAGGUAGACUGUCCAGUAAUGAGAGAAGCAGAUCAGCAGCCUCAUAUGGCUACAGUCAUAUGAUGGGAGUCACUGUGGCUCAGUGUGUAGCCAGUGUAUGGCACUGGAUCAGAACUAUGGCUCAUGCAAAUGACUUCUGACCACAUUACUGCUGUACAGAAAUGAACAGCACUGAUACAUUCUGGAACUAAAGAAUCAUAAGGAAAGUGAGAACACAACCUACAAAGAUACUAUAAUU